rnacentral:rRNA from 1 species
UACGGAGGGUGCGAGCGUUGUCCGGAAUCAUUGGGCGGAAAGGGCGCGUAGGUGGCCCGGUCAGUUCGUGGUGAAAGCGCGGGGCUCAACCCUGCGUCGGCCAUGAAUACUGCCGCGGCUCGAGCACUGUAGAGGCAGGCGGAAUUCCGGGUGUAGCGGUGGAAUGCGUAGAGAUCCGGAAGAACACCGGUGGCGAAGGCGGCCUGCUGGGCAGUUUUGCUGACACUGAGGCGCGACAGCGUGUGGAGCAAACAGG